rnacentral:lncRNA from 1 species
UUUAUUGUUGUUAUUAUUGUUAUUGUUAGUGUUGUUGUUGUUAUUGUUGUUGCUGCUGUUGUGGUUGCUGUUUUUGUUAUUGUUGUUGUUGUGGUGGUGGUUAUUUAUGUUAUUGUUAUGGUUAUUAUUGUUGUUGUUGCUUCUGUUGUUGUUGUGGUGGUUGUUAUUGUUAAUACUGUUGUUAUUGUUAUGAUUGUUGUUAUUGUUGUUGUUGUUGCUGUUGUGGUACAACAACAACACCAGGUUGUUAUUGUUAAUACUGUUGUUAUUGUUAUGAUUGUUGUUAUUGUUGUUGUUGUUGCUGUUGUGGUUGUUG